UACGCUGUAUGCUUUAGAUUUUAGGACUCCUACGAAAAGUGAAGAAACAUAAACACUUUGUAAGAAAUACAAGGAAGUUUGAUGAGCCUACACUUUGUAAUUUUUCGAUUAAGAAAGUUGUUCUUCGGAAUGGGUAUUAGGGUUCCCAGGUUCCUUCGAUGUUGCAAGAAAUAGCUUAUUUCCAUUGUGUUAUCAUCUUCACCGCAACAAGAUGCUUUACAGCUAUAUUCAUUGUAGUUGUGUUAUGAUUUUUAUUAUUUCAAAUUUUUAAAUUUUCCAUUUCAUGAUUGUGAGUGGUGACCACAAUUUUGGACAAUUGUUUUGUGCUUUUAGUAUAUCAUAUGUUACACACCUUUGGCUUUUCAGCACUUUCCUGUGGGAUAUGCAGUUCCGAUGUAGUCAGAAUGGUUAGCAUCUUCAGGGAAGCAGAAGAUAUUCACUCAAGGGAAUCUUCAAACACAUACAUUAAUAGUUUAGGAAGUUAUUUCAUUGAUUUCAACUUGCUAGUGGAUCUUAGUAACACUUCAAUUGGGUCAUUGGAUUCUAGUUAUAGUUCAGAUGCCUCUAUGGUAAGAUCAUUCCUGGCUCAAAAUUGAUGUUGAUCAAGCAAGACCUUUGACAAUUCUCACAAACAAAAGAAAUUGCCUAGCUUUUGUUUCUGCAGAAUUUCAUUGAACCAGUACUUGUUAGAUUUCUGACCAAUGCAUAUGAUCUGCAUGAUGUUAAAGCCCUGAGAACUGGAACUCAGCUUCUAUUGGAAAUUGUGAACAACUGCACGCUUGGUUUCUUUUCCUCUUUCUCAAUUUUGUUCUUUUGAUAUUAGUAUCAAUUGUUUUGGCUUGCUUACAUUUUUCUGGCGUGUUUUUGUCUAAAUUAAUUGGCUUCUAUCCUUUGAAGCAAUAUUGUAGCUGUAAUCUUUCUAAUGUCUGAUAUAUGUAUGUUUUAGUUACAUCUGCAAUUAAAACAGAGGAAGUGGAUCUGUUCUCCAUCCUAUGUUAAAUGUGCAUGUAUUGAGUGGCCUUGACGACAAAGAAAUUUACCACACCUUUAUCAAAGUCAUAAGCCAAUGCCAUAUGUUGGCAUAUCUGGAGGCCAUCAACCACAUCUUUGUUUUCCCAGAGGAGCUGUUUUCAAAUCAUGGGCGACAUGUGUAUAUUAUAAAGAUAUGGGAAAGAGGUGGUAUAUUUUUGUGGUAUGUUUCUCUUUCAACUCCCUAUAUAUAUAUAUAUAUAUAUAUAUAUAUAUAUAUAUAUAUAUAUAUAUAUAUAUAUAUAUAUCUUUAUACGUGUAUCACUAGACCAGAACUUGAGAGUUGAGAAGCAAUAACCAU